rnacentral:lncRNA from 1 species
CCACAACCCAAACCAAACUGUGAUCGCUCUGGCCUGAGACACAAGAAAACCAAGGACAAACCAAAGGUAGAAACUACUCCUUCUCUGAGGAAACUAUUCUAAUGAUAGCAUUCCAAAUAGCCAGUGUAGCUACAGCUAAGAGGAGGCAAAUAUUUGUCUAAAAUGCUGUACUGUAGUGCUGAAAUAAUGACUUGCUCUUUUAUCUGGGGCUGCUUUCCAGAUAAAAAAGUUAAAGUACCAUCAGUACAUCCCUCCUGAUCAGAAGGGAGAUAAAGAGCCUCCUCCUCAUCUGGAUUCAUCCUAUGCCAAGAUCCUCCAGCAGCAGCAGCUCUUCUUGCAGCUCCAGAUCCUCAGUCAGCAGCAGCAGCGCUACCACACCAUCCUCCCUGCACCAACUAAGUAAGUCCACAUGCAUGCUCUUCUGUGGAGUCUGAAGGGUUGCACGUUCAAAGGCUGUGAGGAACAUGGGACAUAAACUUCUGUUUACAGGACUCAAGAGCACCUGUUAAGAUUUACUUUUGUGUCAUUGUCUUUUUGCCCAGCAGAUCCCAGACAGCUCAGCAGCCAUCUUCCUCCUCUAAGUCUAUGCACACCUCCUCCUCCCCACCUCGACCUGCUGGUGCACCUUUAGACUUCUCUAAACAUUACAUCCACACCUGUCUAAGUUCUGUCCCGCUAGGUGGAACGAAACCAGUGUCUCUGCCUCCAAACCUCGAUGAAAUGAAGGUUGCGGAACUGAAGUCCGAAUUAAAGCUGCGUAACUUGCCCGUCUCCGGCACCAAAAAUGACCUCAUUGAGAGGCUGAGGACAUAUCAGGAACUAAGCCGAGGCAGUGACACUACCUCCUCUCCAACAGCAGGGUGUACCACAGGGCCAGGGGGCUGAAGGAGCAGGAAAAAUCAUCCAAGAGCGCUGCAAUCAUCAUCACCACUGAAGCGGGCAGCAGUGGGAGCCUAAAUGCAGCAAAACCUCAACAGUUCAUGACCUGCAAUGGGAGCCUUGCCUCUUCAGCUGUCUCCUUCAUUCCCUCACCGACUGCCAUGAGUCCAGAAGACAUCAGCUUUAACAGUGACCUCUUAGGGGAGCUGAUGAGUUCACCUCUCAACCAGUUGAGCCUCCAGCCAUCUUCAGUUGCUCAGCUCUCCACAAACAUUAAAAAAGAGCGUCGAUGCUCGACUCCCGCUCCUUGUCAAUACUCUUUAAAGUCUGCCUCUCUGCAAAGACACUCCUCAGUAUCUUCAGGUGUCCCGGCCACUACGAGCACAGCUCCUGUACUGAGUGUUGAUAAAGACAGAUUGCUGCAGGAGAAAGAUAAGCAGAUAGAGGCGCUGACCAGGAUGUUGUGGCAGAAACAGAGAUUGGUGGAGGUGCUAAAAAUGCAGCUGGAAAAUGGAGACAGAGGAAAGGCUCCAGAGCCAAUCAGUCCUCUCGGGGUAAAAGAAGAACCUCUCGAUGAGCCCGAUGUUGCCUUCUCAAUGGACUUUGAUCGAUUUCCCUCUCAAAAAUCACCUAUUUCACAAGAGAUGGAUAUUACCAAGGUAAUUGUGAAACAGGAAGUAAUCGAGGAAGAAGAAGUUAAACCUGAGAAAACUUUCCAGUCCCCAGUCACUCAUGGAUUGCUGCAGUCCUCAACCCAAACACAGGAGGAGCAGCUGGCUCAACAACACACCAUACAGAAAGUCCUGCUGCAGCAGCAGCAGCACAACAUCCAGAACCAGAAUCAGACGCUGGAGAAUCAACAUGACCUGCAGAAACUUUGUCAGCAGAGAAAGAAAAAAUCUCAAAACCAGCAAAAGCAGCUGCUGCUGCAGUCACAACAGCAGCAUCAGCAGUCAAAGCAUGUGCAACAGAUGCAGCUGAAGCAACAGCUUCUGCUGAAGCAACAAAAGUCACACAUGUUGCCACAGCAAAUGAAGACUAAACAACAGACUAAACAACUACAGCAAAUCCAGAUUCAGACCAAAAUACAGCUGAAGCAGCAACAGGUGCUCAAACAGCAGAAACAGCAGGUGAAGCAGCAGCAGCAGCCAUCUAAGGUGCCUCAAGCAUACCUGAAACAGCAGUCAGGCUCAAGUGCCUCUUUCUCACUGGACCACCUUAAGAUUGACUCCACCCCAACCCUGGUCACUGACACCAACGGUAACCAUUUUCUGAUCGCGCUGACCAAUCACCCUGACUGGAAACAAAAUAAAGGCCCCUGCUGA